rnacentral:misc_RNA from 1 species
GAAAUGCGAUAAGUAAUGUGAAUUGCAGAAUUCAGUGAAUCAUCGAAUCUUUGAACGCACCUUGCGCUCCUUGGUAUUCCUUGGAGCAUGCCUGUUUGAGUAUCAUGAAAUCUUCAAAGUAAAUCUUUUGUUAACUCAAUUGGUUUCUACUUUGGUAUUGGAGGUCUUUGCAGCUUCACACCUGCUCCUCUUUGUUCAUUAGCUGGAUCUCAGUGUUAUGCUUGGUUCCACUCGGCGUGAUAAGUUAUCUAUCGCUGAGGACACUGUAAAAGGUGGCCAAGGUAAAUGCAGAUGAACCGCUUCUAAUAGUCCAUUGACUUGGACAAUACUUUUAUGAUCUGAUCUCCAAUCAGGUAGGACUACCCGCUGAACUUAAGC